UUGAACUGCAGCUCAUGCUUUUGUGAUUCUAUAUUCAUUGAAGAUGCACAAUCACUUUCCUAGUGCUGCAGUUUAAUACUUCUCUCUGUUCCCCAAUAUCCCUCCAUCCUUCUCAGCCAAAGUCUAUCUCUUCCAUUUUGUCUAAAGAAUAUGAUUGGUGUUUGAUGGAGCAGUAGCCAGAAAGAACAUUGUCUGCAGCGCCGCUGUGUGUCGCAGUGGAGGAGUGAGCGAGGUUCACAUCAGGAAGACAGGAAGAGACAGCACAGUGUGGUCUGAGCACAACUGAGGUGAAAGACAUGAGGCCUGUUAACACCAAGCUCUGGGAGAAUAAAGUCUGAAAUGAAGCAGUGAAUACUGGCUGACUUUUUUUUGUCAGGAAGACAAAAUUUGACCCCCGUCUGCCUCUUGCUGCCCAUCGUUCCACUGUGGGGACAAACAGCAGUGUGUAUCAGUGAGCUAUCUGUAUCAUUAAUGAGGUCUCAACCAGAGGACGCUCUGUCUUCAGCUCUCUGCAUCACAACCACACACAACAAAGACCUUCAUCUUCCCAAAGAAUAAAAAGAACAUGGAGGGAAGAUGUUUUUGUGUUUGUGUUGGUAGAGAUGUGAUCCUUGAGCAUCUUGUUGGUGGUAAAUCGAUCUCAAACUGUGUCACUGCUUCCCUCAUCAACGCUCACACUUAACAGACUCAAUACACACACACACUCACACUUUUUGUGAAAAGAUGCAUGUUGUAAUGUGACACCUGCACCGUGUUAUAUGAUAGCAUUUACUCUGUUAACAGUCACACAUUUAUACGACAGAUCACACUGUAACCACAGCAGGUGUGAAGGUCCCAUCCAUCUCCACUCUGAUAUGUAUUUCAACACAGUCAGCCUUGCACACAUUAAUGCAAUAACUCUCACUGGCCAGGUAAGAUUUCAACUGCUAUUACUGAUACAGUCAUUUCAUCAGUUUAUAUUAAGUAUAAAUUAAUGUCAAGCUAACAUCAUGCCAAUGUGCACUUUUUUUGAGUUGCUGUAGCAGAUUGAUCAGUGACAUUAGCAUCACUGCAGGAGUUUAUCCUUACUGAUUUAUCAUUUGUAGCAGUUUAUAAAAUAUGGAACAAAAUGCAGACUUUCAAUGGCGUACUUAGGGAAACUGUGGGAAUUCUAGCAUAUUCAGUGUUUUUCAAUAUGAAUGAAUGAAGCUGCAUCACAGUUACAUUUUUCGGGAUUUCUUUGAGCUUGAGAUGAAAUCACAUGGCUGAACUAAUAACUUUGUGUUCAACUGUGAUCUUCUCAUAUCACAGAAAAUACUCAUUUCUUAAUAUCGGAGUCUCUUAAAAUUGUAUGAUUGUAUAAAAGACAUUUGCCUCUGGUUUGGUCUCAGCUCUUGAUCGAGAUCAGUACAACUGUAGGUGAUAAUAGUCUGCAUCAUGCUACAAUACUCUCACACAAGAAACUCACGGGCUAACCAUGGGCUAAGUGGACUGCAAUAAACGUCCAAUAAAUGUAUGACAAUAUAACCACGGCUUCUGUUGAUACGGAAAUGAAAUGUCCUGAUGUGGAAAAUAUCCUAAUCUGCAGAGAGCCUCAACCAUAUCAUUAAUAAUAUAGCAGAACACCUUGUUGUGUAUUAUCAGUGAGUACAUAAAGUUUCAGUAAAAACAUCUGCUGGAUGUGUGUGUGAUAACACAUUACUGUAUGAGGAAUCCUGAUAUAAGAUAAGAACAGUUAUUAAAGCAUUACCUACAUUAUAUCGUGUUAUCAAACAACAUAAUAACAAUGUCCUGUUCUCCUUGCAGCUAUUAACCAUUUUCAUUGUCAGUGUGAGCCGCCAGAUAAAAAAAAGAACACUCCGCCUCUUUACGUUGAGACCACUUUUACUGGAGCACAGUUCAGUUACAGCAACCAUUGUAGCGGUGGAGUCCUACUGUACGCACAAUGAUGAACUUUACCUUCCUAGCAACUUUACUUUGUACCUUCAGCUGGUUCUCUGUCUCUGUUUCUGAGUUUCACACUGUGGAGGUUCAGCCUGGUGAAGAAGUCACACUGCUGUGCUCCAACUUCAGCAGUCUUCCCGUUCACAUAUCUUGGUUCAAACUGGCCAACGGACCCAACGUCAGCCGCAUUUCUUCUAUGAUGAGCUCUGAUGCCAAUGUUACAUUCUUUGAUGGAUUUCAAAAAGGCAAAUUUAACAUGACAUCCAACACCACUACCCUCUUCCUCAAUAUCAAACCAGUGGAUUUAUCUGACUCUGGACUGUAUUUCUGUGGACUUUACUUAAAUGAAAACUCAGUUAUUUUCAGUGCAACAUCUUUAAAGGUUCAAGACCUGUUUGAUGGAACAAUAAGCCUGAUGAGUGUGAUCCUGGGUGCUCUGAUUGUUGUGCUCAUUGUAGUCGUCAUUGGUCUGGUUGUCAAAAUCAAGAAACUUCAGUCAGCUCAUAAAGAGGAACUGAAUCCACAACACAGCGAGAACCUGGGCUCUGAUCACCUGAACUAUGCAGCUCUGAGUUUCCAUCCAAAAGCAAGACGCAGCAGAAGUUCUCCAUCAGAGAACCAGCUGGAGUCACAUGUUGUGUAUGCUGCCACCAGAUAGACUCAGGAAACAUCUGGAACAGCAGCUCAGAGUGGAACUGUUACUUUAUUAUAUUAAACACUGUUUAAAUACAACACAACAAAGGCCUUCAUCUUCCCAAAGAAUAAAAAAGACUAUAAAGUGAAGAUGUUUUUGUGUUUGUGUUGGUAGAGAUGUGAUCUUUGAGCAUCUUGUUGGUGGUAAAUCAAUCUCAAACUGUCACUGCUCCCCUCAUCACAGCUCACACUUAACAGACUCAAUACUCACACACACUCACACUCUCUUGUGAAAAGAUGCAUGUUGCAAGGUGAUGCCUGCACAGUGCCAUUGACUCUGCUAAAGCCCAGACAUUUAAACGACAGAUCACACUGUAACCACAGCAGGUGUGAAGGUCCCAUCCAUCUCCACUCUGAUAUGUAUUUCAACACAGUCAGCCUUGCACACAUUAAUGCAAUAACUCUCACUGGCAAGAGCUCAGCAUGUACCUCAGACAAGAGGUGGAACACAAAGAAGCCUACCAACCUUCAAGCUCUGCCUUUUAUAGCACCUCCCAAAGACACACCUAUUCCUUCUUCCUCAUCCACCCUCUGCUACUCCACUAUAUCUCCUGUGGAGAGAGUAUCACUUAUAACAUGAAGCAAACAGUAUAAAAUCAAACCUCUACGAUGGGUCAACUAGUCCACUAUUAACCAUUUUCAUUGUCAGUGUGAGCAGCCAGAUAAAAAAAAGAACACUCCGCCUCUUUACGUUGAGACCACUUUUACUGGAGCACAGUUCAGUUACAGCAGCCAUUGUAGUGGUGGAGUCCUACUGUACGCACG